rnacentral:misc_RNA from 1 species
CAAUUGCUUACACUAAAUGAUCCAAAGGAAGGUGGUGCACCAGACAUUUCAGGGAUGAUGGCUGUGCAAACAAUUGCAGAACGGAUGGCCACUCCUGUGAAUGAUGGUGAUGUGCCUAAUGUGCUGUCACUGAAGGAUUCACUGACUGCCAUUCGUAAUGCUACACAAGCAGCUGAUCGUUUACAUCAAGUAUUCAGGAUGCAAUCAUUCCAGCGGAAACAGUUAACUGAGUAUGGUGAUGAUGAUUUCAAUACGUUGGAUGAUCGUGCUCUUGCACUUAUAGCCGCCAAGACACACAAGCCUAUGCAUUCUGAUGGACAAGUCAAUGCUGCAGCUAUUCAAAUCCAGAAGAAGUUCCGUGGUUGGAAAAAGAGAAAAGAAUUCCUGAUAAUUCGGCA